rnacentral:rRNA from 1 species
UACGAAGGGGGCUAGCGUUGCUCGGAAUCACGUGGGCGUAAAGGGUGCGUAGGCGGGUCUUUUAAGUCAGGGGUGAAAUCCUGGAGCUCAACUCCAGAACUGCCUUUGAUACUGAGGAUCUUGAGUUCGGGAGAGGUGAGUGGAACUGCGAGUGUAGAGGUGAAAUUCGUAGAUAUUCGCAAGAACACCAGUGGCGAAGGCGGCUCACUGGCCCGAUACUGACGCUGAGGCACGAAAGCGUGGGGAGCAAACAGG